rnacentral:lncRNA from 1 species
GAGGGGAAAGGCAUAGAGAAAAAGGGGAGAAGACACUCUUGCAAAAGAAGGGAGAAACAGAAGCAAUAGCUCCUUACAUUUCCUCAGAAAGGGAGAGUGAGAAAGCUUGAUUAUUUUCUAGGAAAUGGUAUGUAGAAAGGUUUGGCAGGAGGUGAGUUUAUGAGGGAAUUUGAAAGUAUUAAAGGGAAAAUUACUUCUCUGAAAAAGCAAGAAGAGUACAGAGACACAAGAGCCAAGGAGAAGAAAGUUUUGUUAUGAACAUGCUUGAAGUUUUGCCGACAUUCUGGACAUAUGUAAACAGAGUGCUCAAUGGAACAUCUGUCUGCUGCAGCCACUACUUCCUUCAUUGGACUGCAAGGUAUUUCUGUUUGGAAAAGUAAUGGAGUCCAGUCAACUUCAUUGAUCGCCAAGGACUGUCAAAAUUAUAAAACUUGCUGUGGAGCUCUGACAUGCCAGAAGCCGCUAGAAAAAGAAGUUUGACAUUCAGAAACUUAUCAAGAGGUUCUACUCUUUGGAUAGAGACCAAAAUCAUACUUUGAAAAAGCCUGACAGGUUUCUUCGGAAAAGUGGCCAUCCAUGGAAUGAAUGAAAUGUUCUCUUUCUAUUCCAGGGAUUGCAGUGGCAAAGCUAGGCUAGGUCUUGGAGGCUGGUGUAAGGCGAUGUGGGUGAAGGCAGGAGGCUGAUGGAAAGACUGGGGGGAAGAAAAGCCGAAAUGGAUUCACGGUGCCUUGGAUGAAGGACGAGAGGGGAACUGCAAGCUCCUUCAACUGGUUCUGUCCGGUGAGAAGUGAUCAAGCUUGGGCUGACAAGAGGCUCAGGGAGCCCUCACGUUCUUUCGCUUUUUUACCUGCCAAUCAAACUGCUACAAGACAACACCCUGAUCUGGCAUGGACAUAUCCAACUUAGAAAUAAUGUUUCAUUCAAGAUAAGGCUCGUGGCUUAGGAGAUUGUGACCUGGCUUGCAUCAUUCUAAGACUUCUAUCGUCUGUUUUCAAAACCCAAGGAGGACCUCCUUUUCUGUGUGAUAGUUCCUCAUGCUUUGCCAGCCACUGGGUCUUUAAGGAAGCUUGCCAAGAGUUCCCGGCUGGGAAGGACAGUUCGAGUUCAUCAUAGACAAUGAGCUGGCACCACAGUUUAAGUGACUCACCAACCUGGUUGCCCACUUCAAAAUGUCAAGAACCACACUAUCUAAUUGAAAGAACUGUGUUUUAGCAAAGUGUAAUUGGAUCGCCUGGCAAGAUCAUCUCAAACUAUGUCUCUGACCUUGCCUUUCAGUGGCUAUUUUGAGCACAAGAGGAGAAAGGAAAUGAUUCCUGAAUUAUAUCUUGUUUUUAAAAAUUAAGAUUAAUUAAUACUUGGUUUUAUGUUCAUUCCAUUGUAGGAACUUAGUGAUUAUUACAAAACAGUCAAAAUAGGUCAUAGCAAAAUGAACGUUUAAGAUUAGGUUAAAACAUUCCUCUGAAAUUUUAGUAUUCACUUUUGAAGUGUCAAUUACUAUAUUUCUGUAAUUUCUCAUUUUUUUCUUGGCUUAGAGUCAAGAUGAAAAAUGAUAUUUGAAUCAAAGACAUUGUUUUGUUAUAUAGCCACUCCUUUCUAAAAUGCAAAUCCACCCUCCCCUCACCAAUGCUUUAUUCUUUGUGCGCGCACACACACACACACACACACACACACACACACACACACACAGACAUACACAGAACCAGCACCCAAAUGGUAGAGGAGGUCCUUCCAAGACUUCUAGGACCUGGAUCAUGUAAGCAGUAGAUGAGAAAAUGAAGUAAGAGAUAUAGAGUAAUAACAAUAAAAGUCAAUGAUUUCAUUUUACAAAAAAGUCAUUGUGUAGUACUCAGAUAUUUUUAAGAGCAAGUAUUAUUAUGACUAAAGUAUAUUAUACUUCUAAAUUAUUAUGAUUCUCAUCUAAUUUCAAGCCACACAUAGGCGCCAUUUGAAAGCAUUUUGUGUUACAACCUAUCAACAAAAAUCAACUAAUAGUUUUAUAACGUGCAUAGGUUUACCCCAUGGGGAAUUAAAAUUUUUAUCUGCAAGUAUUUCUGUUGUUGUGAGACUUUAGGACAAGACAACAUUUGGUGUUAACAUAGAAGAAUAUUCUAUGGCUUUUUUAGCUUUAAAGUUCAUUACUCUAAAAUAAAGUACACGUGGUAUUUUUUUCUUCCUAGUGUUCUCUUAUUAUAUGUAGAGUAUUUUCGGUUGUUGUUUUUAACGUAUACAUUAUUUUUAUUAAGUCAUUUCAUAAAAGAUAAGAUAUAUACUAAUAGACCCUUGGUUUUCUCCUAAUUUAAUUAUUUCAAGUCAAGCAAAAUUGGGCAAUUUUCUUUCAGGAAAAAAAAAAUAUUGAGCAUGAUUUUGAGGUAAAACUGAUUAUUUACAGCAUCUUUUCUCUAAUAGGCUAACAUUUAUGAUGGAUCUUAUUUCAAAGUUGAUUAUUCUCAAAGAAAAGUGGAGAUAUUAGAAUUUCCGAGUAAAUUGCAUUGUUUUAAAAAGUACUUUAAUGCAUUGUUCACAUUGUUGCCAGCUAUUGACCAAAAAAGAGAAGAAGAAAAAAGAAAUAAAAAAAGCAGUAUCUGCUCCAAACGUCAAGUUUUGCAGUUUGAAAGACUUGUACAUUAUAAUUGUUUUUUUCUUUUUUGGAAAGCAGUAGUAAUUAAUACCAAAGGCAUAGACAAUUUAGGGCCAUAACCUCCCUUCCCCCCUCUCCACCUUUUUUUUUUUUUUUUUUUUUUUUUAACUUUAACCAUGAUAGGCAUCUCUGCAAGGUAGGUUUUAACAUAUUUUUUUCCUAAUUUUUUUCCCUCCAUUCAGUAAGAAGGAUAAGCUUUUAGAGUACCCAGUCACCGUGGUAACUGCCAAAAAAAUUCUCCUGAAGUUUGAAGAGGUCAGCUAGCAGGGUCAACAACCCUGGCCUCUCUCUGAGCUCGGUCUAGCAUGCCCCAGCCUGCGGUUGGAGUGUCAGGCCAGAUCUGACCCUGGGAGGUGGACCAUUCUGGCUCUGAUAUAAAUUUUUCGAGUCAGUUCAUGGCCUGGACUCUCCAGGUGGCCUCCAAAAUCGAUUUUGACCCCCUGACCCUGUCUCACGGAGGCAUAGCAUCCACCCUAAGUAAGGAUUUAGCCAGGAAUGACAGCUUUCCACUGAGUGUUAUUGGGGACAGUAUAAACAGUUUGGAAAGCAAGUAAGGAGGUGUGAGGGCUAGCAAUCAUUAAAAGCACAUUAAAAAACAAUUUUUAAAAAUCUUUAUUAGAGAAAGUUGUAAAUGCAUAUCUGUUACAGAAUUCCUGUGAUUUGUAGAGUUUUCUAGUCAGUUUUGAAUAUAAAUAGGUCACAUAUCUUUAUCUUUUUGCAUACUUUGUUACAAAUAUGCAAAUAAGAUAGGCAUACUUGCUACAAAAUAGGUACAGCAGGAAUGUAAUAUGUUCAGAAAAGGCAAACUGGUUAUUAAAACACAUUAACAGGUAAGGAGUUUCUAAUAUUUUAAAUACUAAAAUUUUACAUGUGUAUUUUGAAGUUUUUAAAAUGGAAAAAUAAAGAACCUUUAAAAAACCCAACAGUGUGGAAUAAAGAUAAACUUGUUGCACUCAAGGUACAUUUCUACUUUGUAAAGCAAGAAGCCAAUACACUCAGUUGGAUAAAAAUGAGAGAAAAAUUGUAAAUAUAGAGAGUUACAGCUUAUAGAGCUGAAGAGGAAUAAAACAAAAAAAAGUGUCUCUGAAUAACUUUAUGUAUUUUCAACAGUUUAAGAUAUCAGAAACUUGGAAAAUAAAUAUGAUAUAUAUAUAAAUCAUCA